rnacentral:rRNA from 1 species
AUGAACGCUGGCGGUAUGCUUAACACAUGCAAGUCGAACGGACUCUUCGGAGUUAGUGGCGGACGGGUGAGUAACGCGUGAGAAUCUGGCUUUGGGUUCGGGACAACCACUGGAAACGGUGGCUAAUACCGGAUGUGCCGAGAGGUAAAAGAGAAAUUGCCUGAAGAUGAGCUCGCGUCUGAUUAGCUAGUUGGUGAGGUAAAGGCUCACCAAGGCAGCGAUCAGUAGCUGGUCUGAGAGGAUGACCAGCCACACUGGGACUGAGACACGGCCCAGACUCCUACGGGAGGCAGCAGUGGGGAAUUUUCCGCAAUGGGCGAAAGCCUGACGGAGCAAUACCGCGUGAGGGAAGAAGGCUCUUGGGGUGUAAACCUCUUUUCUUAGGGAAGAACAAAAUGACGGUACCUAAGGAAUCAGCAUCGGCUAACUCCGUG